rnacentral:rRNA from 1 species
CACGUAGGCACCAAGCGUUAUCCGGAUUUAUUGGGCGUAAAGAGCUCGUAGGCGGUUCGGUAAGUCGGGUGUGAAGACUCUGGGCUCAACCCAGAGAGGCCACCCGAUACUGCUGUGACUAGAGUGCGGUAGGGGAGCGGGGAAUUCCUGGUGUAGCGGUGAAAUGCGUAGAUAUCGGAAGGAACGCCGGUGGCGAAAGCGCUCGACUGGACCUCUGCUGACGCUGAGGCGCGAAAGCCAGGGGAGCAAACGGG